AUAGGCGGCCAUAGUGGCUUGGUUCCAUCCGAUCCCAUAUGUUUGACAAAAAAACAGGGUUGUUCGAACUCGGAAAUUAAGCAAGCCCGCGUUCCGUAUUGUACUGCGCUCAGCGCGGGAAGUGCGGUUAGCUGCCACCU
rnacentral:rRNA from 1 species